rnacentral:rRNA from 1 species
UGAGCAACCUGCCCUUGACUCUGGAAUAACAGUUGGAAACAGCUGCUAAUACCGGAUACGACCUCCGACGGCAUCAUCUGGAGGUGGAAAGCUCCGACGGUCAAGGAUGGGCUCGCGGCCCAUCAGCUUGUUGGUGAGGUAACGGCUCACCAAGGCUUCGAUGGGUAGCCGGCCUGAGAGGGCGACCGGCCACACUGGGACUGAGACACGGCCCAGACUCCUGCGGGAGG